CCCUGACAAGAGGCUGGGGAGAUGGGGGGGNNNNNNNNNNNNNNNNNNNNNNNNNNNNNNNNNNNNNNNNNNNNNNNNNNNNNNNNNNNCCUCUCAUUAAAACGGAUUAAUUUAUUAUUUUUUGGGCGUUGCUUUGUCCCUCGGGAAGAGCCGGUGGCCGUGACCCCCCCUCCCCAAGCGCCCCCCCCUGAGUUACAGCCGCGCCGCCCCCGGCACGGCACCGAAACACUUAAAAAAACCCAAAAAACACCCCUAAAAAAACCCCAAAACCCCCACUGCGGCCGGGAUGGGGGGAAGGAUUCCCCAAAACCUCCAUCCCAGUUGGGUUUGGGGAAUGGGGGGAUCCCCCAAAACCUUCGUUCCAGUUUGGGGAAUGGGGGGAUCCCCCAAAACCUCCAUCCCAGUUGGGUUCAGGGGAUGGGGAGGGUUGGAGGGGAUCCCCCAAAACCUCCAUCCCAGUUGGGUUUGGGGGAUAAAGGGGGACCCCUUCCCAGUUCAGGGCUGGGUGAGCUGGAUGCCGAAGACGUCGGGGUGGCGGUGCCGGUGGAGACAGGUGGCUUCGGAAGACCCUUCGGCGUCGCGCACGUUGUACUCCCCCUUCUUACACGCCGUGGUCUUCAGGUAGUAACCCCCGGCGGCCACCAAACCCACUGCUGUCACGGCCCCCAAGGAGCCCAAUGAGGCCACCAGGGCCAACCGACUCUCUGUGGGGCCAGAAGGUGCUGGUGACACCAUGGUGGUGGCCACGGCCCCCAAGGAGCCCAACGAGGCCACCAGGGUCAACCUAGACUAUAUUGGGCCAGAAGGUGCCGGUGACACCACGGUGGUGGCCACGGCCCUGAAGGAGCCCAACGAGGCCACCAGGGCCAACCCACUCUCUGUUGGGCCAGAAGGUGCCGGUGACACCACGGUGGUGGCCACGGCCCCCAAGGAGCCCAGCGAGGCCACCAGGGCCAACCCACUCUCUGUUGGGCCAGAAGGUGCCGGUGACACCACGGUGGUGGCCACGGCCCCCAAGGAGCCCAACGAGGCCACCAGGGCCAGAAGGUGCCGGUGACACCACAGUGGUGGCCACGGCCCCCAAGGAGCCCAACGAGGCCACCAGGGCCAACCGACUCUCUGUGGGGCCAGAAGGUGCCGGUGACACCACGGUGGUGGCCACGGCCCCCAAGGAGCCCAACGAGGCCACCAGGGCCAGAAGGUGCCGGUGCCACCACAGUGGUGGCCACGGCCCCCAAGGAGCCCAACGAGGCCACCAGGCCCAACCGACUCUCUUUUGGGCCAGAAGGUGCUGGUGACACCACGGUGGUGGCCACGACCGCCCCCCAACUUCAUUUUACCACCAACCCCCCCAUCCCCUCCUUCCAUAUUCUCCAUCCUUGGAUAUCUCACCGUCCACGUGGACCACCACGCUGCCGGCUCGCCGGCCGUGCCUGUUGGUGGCCGUGCAGGUGUAGAGGCCCCGGUUGACGGCGGCGGCGCCGGCCACGGCCACCGAGCGGUUGUCGGGGGCCAGGCGGAGGUUGGGGGCGGGG
rnacentral:lncRNA from 1 species